rnacentral:rRNA from 1 species
AACGAACGCUGGCGGCAUGCCUAACACAUGCAAGUCGAACGAGAAAGCCCUUCGGGGUGAGUAGAGUGGCGCACGGGUGAGUAACACGUAGAUAACUUACCUUUCGGCGGGGGAUAACCCGGGGAAACUCGGGCUAAUACCGCGUACGCACUACGGUGGAAAGGGUGCCUUUGGCAUCUGCCGAAAGAUGGGUCUGCGCGACAUUAGCUUGAUGGUGGGGUAAUGGCCUACCAUGGCGACGAUGUAUAGCUGGUCUGAGAGGAUGAUCAGCCACACUGGGACUGAGACACGGCCCAG